rnacentral:rRNA from 1 species
GUGCCAGCAGCCGCGGUAAUACAGAGGUGGCAAGCGUUGUUCGGAUUUAUUGGGCGUAAAGGGUCCGUAGGCGGUUUGAAAAGUCAGAUGUGAAAGCCCACAGCUCAACUGUGGAACUGCAUUUGAAACUUUCAGACUAGAGUAUGAGAGGGGUUAAGGGAAUUCCCGGUGUAAGGGUGAAAUCUGCAGAGAUCGGGAGGAACACCAGUCGCGAAGGCGCUUAACUGGCUCAUUACUGACGCUCAGGGACGAAAGCUAGGGUAGCAAACGGGAUUAGAUACCCCCGUAGUCC